GAUGAACGCUGGCGGCGUGCUUAACACAUGCAAGUCGAACGAUGAACCCCACCUGUGGGGGGGUUCGCGGCGAACGGGCGGGUAAGACGCGCGUAACCAGCCCUUGCCUGUGGGAGAAGUAUGUGAAACCGGGUCUAAUACUGGCCACGAAGGUCAUCCGCAUGCCAUGUUGGGGGAAGGCUUUUUUGGUGUUCGGUGGUCUAGCGGCCUAUCAGCAUGUUGGUGGUGGAAUGGCCUAUUAAGGCGACGCCGGGUAGCCGGCCGGAGGGGGUGACCGGCCACACUGGGACUGAUACGCGGCCCAGACUCCUACGGGAGGCAGCGGUGGGGAAUAUUGCACAAUGGGCGCAAGCCUGAUGCAGCGACGCCGCGUGAGGGAUGAAGGCCUACGGGUUGUAACCCUCUUUCAGUAGGGAAGAAGCCGGCUGUUGGGUUGGUGACGGUACCUGCAGAAGAAGCGCCGGCUAACUACGUG
rnacentral:rRNA from 1 species